rnacentral:rRNA from 1 species
CAGUAGCGGCGAGUGAAGCGGCAAAAGCUCAAAUUUGAAAUCUGGCUCUUUCAGAGUCCGAGUUGUAAUUUGAAGAAGGUAUCUUUGGGUCUGGCUCUUGUCUAUGUUUCUUGGAACAGAACGUCACAGAGGGUGAGAAUCCCGUGCGAUGAGAUGAUCCAGGCCUAUGUAAAGUUCCUUCGAAGAGUCGAGUUGUUUGGGAAUGCAGCUCUAAGUGGGUGGUAAAUUCCAUCUAAAGCUAAAUAUUGGCGAGAGACCGAUAGCGAACAAGUACAGUGAUGGAAAGAUGAAAAGAACUUUGAAAAGAGAGUGAAAAAGUACGUGAAAUUGUUGAAAGGGAAGGGCUUGAGAUCAGACUUGGUAUUUUGUAUGUUACUUCUUCGGGGGUGGCCUCUACAGUUUAUCGGGCCAGCAUCAGUUUGGGCGGUAGGAGAAUUGCGUUGGAAUGUGGCACGGCUUCGGUUGUGUGUUAUAGCCUUCGUCGAUACUGCCAGCCUAGACUGAGGACUGCGGUUUAUACCUAGGAUGUUGGCAUAAUGAUCUUAAGUCGCCCGUCUUGAACCACG